GACGAACGCUGGCGGCGUGCCUAAUACAUGCAAGUCGAACGAGAGCGACCGGUGCUUGCACUGGUCAAUCUAGUGGCGAACGGGUGAGUAACACGUGGGUAACCUGCCCAUCAGAGGGGGAUAACAUUCGGAAACGGAUGCUAAAACCGCAUAGGUCUUCGAACCGCAUGGUUUGAAGAGGAAAAGAGGCGCAAGCUUCUGCUGAUGGAUGGACCCGCGGUGCAUUAGCUAGUUGGUGAGGUAACGGCUCACCAAGGCCGUGAUGCAUAGCCGACCUGAGAGGGUGAUCGGCCACAUUGGGACUGAGACACGGCCCAAACUCCUACGGGAGGCAGCAGUAGGGAAUCUUCCGCAAUGGACGCAAGUCUGACGGAGCAACGCCGCGUGAGUGAAGAAGGUUUUCGGAUCGUAAGACUCUGUUGUUAGAGAAGAACAAGUGCUAGAGUAACUGUUAGCACCUUGACGGUAUCUAACCAGAAAGCCC
rnacentral:rRNA from 1 species